rnacentral:lncRNA from 1 species
GGAAUAUAAUUGUGCUGGUGCUAAUAGGCACUACUCUAACUUUUGAGUGACAAAUUGCUAUUCAGAAAUCCAGAAAUUGAAAUUGGUAGAAAUUCAGAAGAAGAAAUCAUACCAAUAAAAUUGGCAGAAAAUCAGAAGAAAUUGCACCAAUAUAAGAGCCCUGAAUAGGAUGUGCUAGAAGGCUGUUUCCAACCAAUCCAUAGAGACAAAGUGGGAUCACAACCUAAGGCAAUGGCUGAUACCUCCAGGGACAGAGAGAUAAAUCGUAGAGAAGACUGUGGUGUCAUGGUAAGCACAUUGACACUAUAGCCACAAUGCUUGAGUACAAGUCCCAAUUCUUACACCAUAUGACCAUGAAUGACUUAAUCUCUCGGUUUCCUUUCUGAAAAUGAGAGCAAUUAUGUCAUCUUGUUAGAUUUUUGGGAGGAUAAAAAUAUAAUUAGUACAUGAAAAGUUUGCUUUGAAAGUGCUCAAUACAUAGCAAGUACCCUGCCCAAGUAUUUGCUGAAUAAGUAAUAAAAUUAAGAAAUCACUAUUAUAAUUUUAUAAUACUCUGUCUUAGAGUAUCCCACAACAUCAUCCUCAGGGCAAGUCAGUAGGACUCAUGGUCCCUCUUCUGAAAGAUCUUAUGAACUAAAAGGCAACUGAAGGCAAAAUCUAUAGCUAAAGAAACACAGGCAUAAGUGAGCCAAAGAGAUUAGAUAGACACAUAUACCAACAUUUCAUUUUUUCAGAUGCUAAGCUAAGAGACAAGCAUUGGCAUAAAACAUAUGACUACUGAUACAAAAAGAAAGAAGUCUUAUGAUUCAUAAAUCCCAAGCAAUAUCAUCAACAAUAUCAACAGAAAUUAACUGAAUACUUAAUGUACAGAUAAUUCCAGGUAACAACACUCUCCUUUUCUGUUGCUAUAUUUUUAUCUAAUCCAUUUCUUCUCACCCUUAGCCAUCAAU